GGUUCCAUGGUCUAGUGG
rnacentral:siRNA from 1 species